rnacentral:tRNA from 3 species
GCGAAUAUGUCGAAAUUGGUAGCCGAGUGAAUUUUAGGAAUUCAUGUUUUUAAAUCGUAAGAGUUCAAGUCUCUUUGUUCGUA